UCUCUUUGCAAUUCAAAUAUCGGAGGCAGGCAGCCCAGACAUAAGAAUGAUGAACAUUCUGUACUCCUGAAACCCAUCUAUAUGAAGAAAACAUGCAGUCGAUUAGUCGAUUGAGCACAAAGUUGAAUGAAAUUUUUGCUAAACACUUACAUCCCAAUCAAAGGAAGAUUAUAGAUUUUAGGAUCGGAUUCAAGUAGCAACAACAACUUUCUUGUUUGAUCCAUCGUCACAUAUCUAUAAGAGAAACACGGAGUCCCUUCGACAUCGCUUAGUCUCAGUGGUCCGGCUAAAUUUCGUGCCAAGGUCGUUUGGAUUAUGGGGAGAGGUGCAAUUGGUCGUGCCUGAAUUUUUGAAUCAGGUACUAUCGCACCACCUGGAAGCAGAUAAAUAGUAGAUUUUUAGCACACUGAUCUAUACAUUACCAAAUCUUGGAGAACCAGUAACUUGGUUGAAUGAAGGCAAAAGAAUUAGCAGAAUAAUUUCAAACCUGGAUUGCUUGGGCAAAUUCAUCUCUUGUAUGGCUGAUGGAAUCAUCUGAGAUUUGUAUUUCAUUCUUAACCUAUAGUAAAUACAAUAUCAAUUUUUUCACAGAACACUGUAUGGACUAUGGACAAAUCAUUUGAUGGAGUGUUUUCACAGAUGUCAAAUUUGCAUUGCAAGUUACAUAUAAUAUUAAACUGAUUAUUUAUGUUUGAAACAGAAUCUAAUGUCAUACUGUUAUUGGUAUGAUAUGAUCUCCAGGUACAACAGCUGUAGGCACUUUGGAUUUUGCUACAUUCUCCCCUGAAUGAAAAAAUGAAAAGGGUUUGGAGGAGUUUGCAUUUUGAAUGAGGUACUAGCUGUAAGGUUAUAGUUUUAUUUCUUAUCAUUGAAAGUAUGAGAUAUGACUACUCUAAGGUUAUAGUUUUAUUUUUUAAUUAUCAUUGAAAGGGUCAGAGAGAAGAUUAAAGAUUAAUCAUAUUUGAUUGACAUACACUGUACAUCUCAUUUUAUACUUGUACUCAUCAUUCCCUUUAACACAAUUGAUUUACUAUAUUUGAAUGUUUUAAAUGAUGAAUGAUAGCCAAUGCAAUGAACCUGAACUAAAUAAUAUAUAUUCUUUGUCUUGCACCUUUCACUAUAUUUCAAUUUCAGGGUCUGUAUAAAACAUAUGAUCAAUUCAUACCUACUAGUUCUUUGAUUUCCCUGCCUGGAUCAAAUCUAUCCACUCCAAAGCAAAUUCCACCUUCACCUUGAUGAAUGGGUACACAAUUAGCAGUGCAUUAAUUAGCAUAUUCCCAUCUUCCAAAGCAAAGUUAUAUUUAUUCAGACUUGACAUAAAUGUCCCCCUAGUAUAGUCAUGCAUGGCAGGCUAUGCAGGUGAUUACCCAAACAGGUUGCCAAAUCUUAAAUAUUAGUAUAAUCAACUCACUUGACUUUGGGUAAAUUGAACCCAAAAGAAAACUUGUCAGACGUUUGUCUUCAGCAUAUCUGUGCGCCAAUCUCAAGCUCUUCUCAACAAUGAACAACUGCACAACUCUGUUUCAUGUGGUGGCAAAAAAUUGAGGAUGUGAGAAGGAUGUUUUUCUAUCUUAUACAUUGGUAGCACUUUGGCAUUUUUUAUACACUCACUGUUUGUCCAAGAUAAGUGCCAGGGUUUCAAAAUCUCCAACAGGUUUACUUUCCCUAAUAGAAGCAAAAUUAGGAAAUUAAAAUGUUUUUAGUUAAUACAGAGAUGAAAUGUAUAGAGUGUAAUGUGUUAUGGAAUCACAAAAAACCACAAGCUUUGUAAAGUAUUUAUGAACAUCUCUUUACCAAAGUACAUUUCUCGUUGAUGGGAACUUGAUGGGCACAACAGCAUUUGGCUUUUGUGCUUGGCUAAAAACAGAAAAAAUAUAGUGAAACAGGUUCAUAAGAUGUAUGUAUUAAGUAUAUAGCAAUAGAAUGCAGGUGGUAUUUUAGACUUUAAACAUGGUUCAGGUUUAGUCAUCAAGUAGAGACCCCUGUCUACGCCUAUGGUACUCUGGAAACAUAUAUCCCAUCUGGAAAAUUUUGAGAUCUACAUAGAGUAUUACAAUACAUAAAGACGUGACCUUGCAAUGACCGUGCCAGCCUCACAAGUAGUUUCUUCUAAUGAGGGUAAGAAAAAAAGGGGAGAAAGCCACUCCUGUUUAUAGGCUCCAUGAUAUUCUAGGUCCCAUGCAUAUAGUAUGUAUAAAGCUCUGCCAGACAGAAUUGCCAAGCCCUGCACACACAGUUUAAUUAACUAGCCUGUUUCAUCC